GAUGAACGCUGGCGGCGUGCCUAAUACAUGCAAGUCGAGCGAACAGACGAGGAGCUUGCUCCUCUGGCGUUAGCGGCGGACGGGUGAGUAACACGUGGAUAACCUACCUAUAAGACUGGGAUAACUUCGGGAAACCGGAGCUAAUACCGGAUAAUAUUUUGAACCGCAUGGUUCAAUAGUGAAAGACGGUCUUGCUGUCACUUAUAGAUGGAUCCGCGCUGCAUUAGCUAGUUGGUAAGGUAACGGCUUACCAAGGCAACGAUGCAUAGCCGACCUGAGAGGGUGAUCGGCCACACUGGAACUGAGACACGGUCCAGACUCCUACGGGAGGCAGCAGUAGGGAAUCUUCCGCAAUGGGCGAAAGCCUGACGGAGCAACGCCGCGUGAGUGAUGAAGGUCUUCGGAUCGUAAAACUCUGUUAUUAGGGAAGAACAAAUGUGUAAGUAACUGUGCACGUCUUGACGGUACCUAAUCAGAAAGCCACGGCUAACUACGUG
rnacentral:rRNA from 1 species